UACGUAGGGUGCGAGCGUUAAUCGGAAUUACUGGGCGUAAAGCGUGCGCAGGCGGCUUGGCAAGACAGAUGUGAAAUCCCCGGGCUCAACCUGGGAACUGCAUUUGUGACUGCAAGGCUAGAGUACGGCAGAGGGGGAUGGAAUUCCGUGUGUAGCAGUGAAAUGCGUAGAUAUGCGGAGGAACACCAAUGGCGAAGGCAAUCCCCUGGGCCUGUACUGACGCUCAUGCACGAAAGCGUGGGGAGCAAACAGG
rnacentral:rRNA from 1 species